CCCUUAGAUGUUCUGGGCCGCACGCGCGCUACACUGAUGCAUUCAACGAGCCUAUCCUUGACCGACAGGUCCGGGUAAUCUUUGAAUCUGCAUCGUGACGGGGAUAGAUUAUUGCAAUUAUUAAUCUUCAACGAGGAAUGCAUAGUAGGCGCAAGUCAUCAGCUUGCGUCGAUUACGUCCCUGCCCUUUGUACACACCGCCCGUCGCUCCUACCGAUUGGGUGUGCUGGUGAAAUGUUCGGAUCGGCCGUUUGUCGCGGUUUCCGCGGCUCGUGGCUGAGAAGUUCAUUAAACCCUCCCACCUAGAGGAAGGAGAAGUCGUAACA
rnacentral:rRNA from 1 species